CCUUGUUCGUGCGGUUUUUUUCUCGAUUACUUUUCAUGGGGUUAUGUUGAAUCAUUGAUUUAUGCAGACAAACCAGCAACUGUUAAAAGCGUUGGAAGCCAAUAUCGCAUACCGGCGGAAUUAUUGCACUAGAACUGAUGGAAUAAGCUGUGUAACAUGUACCAACUUCAAACGUAUUUCGGAAAUGAUCAGCUCUAUCACGAACUUCACCCCGAAAAAAAAACAUUACCGUUUUCUAUCUCUUUAAAUAUUCAAAGUUUCGAAAACAAUGUGCAUCGGUAUGUUCUUCCUCAUUUUCCUGAUGAUGAUGAUAAAGUGUUUAAAAAUCCCUUUCAAGUUAAAAAACAAAAUUAUCACUAUACACUCUACUUUAAAAAAAUAUCUAAAACUAUUUAUUCAUAUGAAAAUCGUUUUUAUUUCAAAGAAAAAUAUUGAAAAUUUAUUUGUGAACUUUCUUUAAAAAAUAAAAAAAAAAUAUGUCCCAAAUCAAGGUAAACGAUUCUAAAUUACAAACAAAAAAACGUAUAGUUUCCGACAUAGAUUCUGAUUAUCCAAGUUCAUCCGAUGAUGGACUAGAGCGUGAGUCUUCUAUAAAAAGUCAAGCUCCUGGUCCAUCAAAGAAAAAACAACCAACUAAUUCCAUGAUGGAACCUCAUAAUAGAGUAAGGCGACAACGAGGAAGGAGUAGAAGAAGCCGUUCACGCCGCCGCAGACUGGGGCCAAGAUAAUCAAAGCGAUGGGCAAAACUUAGUUGAUAGGGUUUUCUUUAUAAAUGAAGUUGAAAAUGCGUGUAUUGUUUUUUUUUUAUAAUAUUUUGUAAAUUUAAUUUUUUUUUAGUUUUAAUUUUUUAUCUUCUAACAUGGUAACAACAUCUUUUUAUCGAACACUGGUAAUUUACGCGAAAGACUUAACAAAGGAUGAGGUGUGUUCAUAAUAUCGGUGAUAUUGUCAACUCUGGAAGUUUUCCUAUCAAAAAAUUCUCUGUAAGAUUUGAAAUCUUUAUUUCUUGACUCUUGAGCCUCUUCACUUAACAGUCCGAUCGGUAAUAAAGCAUCACGUACUAUCAUA